ensembl:lncRNA
GUUAAAGUCUCAAUUCACACAGCGAGGGUUACUUCCUAUGUCAUAUUCUAUAUGAAACUUGUUCUUUUUAUUGAUAUUCACCAUGUACCACGGAAACAACCGGAGACCCGGAGCUGGCGCUUCACUGCUCUGGACUCCUCCGACAGGAUACAACGUGAAUAUGGCACUUUCUCGUGCCCCCAAUGAAGUGCACUACCUGAAAAGGCCAGUGAGCGAGCUGCACGCCUUCAUUGACACUGAGGCCAAUAUGUGCCGCCGGUUACAAGAUCAAGAGCCGGCCUACGAUCGCAUGGCGUCACAGAGAGACGGGGAAAGAGACAGGCAAGAUGAAAGCAGUGGCCACACAGGGACAAGCUCUGGACAUGCAGAUGAUCAGGAGACUGACAGGGAAAGAGAGACAGAACCAGGCACAGGAGGCAGUGGUUUAGAUCAGCGUGAGGAGGAGCUCGGUACCUGCCCACACCAGCCCAAUACCCACUUUAUUGAAACUCAGUCCCUGGAAAAAAAAGACACUCAGAUUUCAGGACACUUGGUUUAGGCAGUACAAAUGGCUUCAUUACAGUCCCUCACUUAAUGGGAAGAAAAAAGGCAUAGUACAAGUGUUUCAACUGUGAC